GCCCCCCUGCAGCAGAUGAGGGUAAUGUGCGGUGUUCAGUCACAGAGGGCGAAGCAGGACAGCAGCAGCUCAUCUGACCGGGGUUAACAUUGACCAAAUCCCUUGUGCAUUCUUAACCGAACCCCUGCUGAGGAUUCUGGGAACCAUCGAUUCAUGCUGUAUCCUCCGAGGUAAUCGGUGCAGGUGGCUCCGUUCUGGCAGGGGUUCGGCAUGCAUUCAUCCACCUGCUCCUGACAGUAGCUGCCCGUGUAUCCGGCUUGACAUCUGCACAGGUUCAUGGUUCUUUGAUGUCGGUGAACAGUCACAUGACAUGCAGCUCGGUUCCUGCAGGCACUUCCUUAUCUGUUUCCACGGUGACCAGCCGUAGCAGGAAGUCACUUGGAGUUUCCUUCUAUUGUCAAUUCUUUGCCUCAACAGGAAACAGGAAGGGGCCAAACAGGAAAUAAACCUAUUUGAGUAGCCACCCUUGACACAGUGGUGUUAUUUCACGUCCCCACAUAGUUUUACGCACACCUCUGCAAAGUUUCAAAACAAAAAAACAGCUGCACAAUGGGUGUUUGUGUAUG